rnacentral:rRNA from 1 species
ACGGGUGAGUAACGCGUGGGUAACCUACCCUGUACACACGGAUAACAUACCGAAAGGUAUGCUAAUACGGGAUAAUAUAUUUGAGAGGCAUCUCUUAAAUAUCAAAGGUGAGCCAGUACAGGAUGGACCCGCGUCUGAUUAGCUAGUUGGUAAGGUAACGGCUUACCAAGGCGACGAUCAGUAGCCGACCUGAGAGGGUGAUCGGCCACAUUGGAACUGAGACACGGUCCAAACUCCUACGGGAGGCAGCAGUGGGGAAUAUUGCACAAUGGGCGAAAGCCUGAUGCAGCAACGCCGCGUGAGUGAUGAAGGCCUUCGGGUCGUAAAACUCUGUCCUCAAGGAAGAUAAUGAUGGUACUUGAGGAGGAAGCCCCGGCUAACUACGUGCCAGCAGCCGCGGUAAUACGUAGGGGGCUAGCGUUAUCCGGAUUUACUGGGCGUAAAGGGUGCGUAGGCGGUCUUUCAAGUCAGGAGUGAAAGGCUACGGCUCAACCGUAGUAAGCUCUUGAAACUGGGAGACUUGAGUGCAGGAGAGGAGAGUGGAAUUCCUAGUGUAGCGGUGAAAUGCGUAGAUAUUAGGAGGAACACCAGUUGCGAAGGCGGCUCUCUGGACUGUAACUGACGCUGAGGCACGAAAGCGUGGGGAGCAAACAGGAUUAGAUACCCUGGUAGUCCACGCUGUAAA